GCCCACAGAUCUGCAUGUAGGAAAGCAAGGAUGGUGACGCUGAAUAGCUGCAGGUCAAACCACAAACUGCUACGGAAAACUGUGCCGACAGAUCUGCAUGUAGGAAAGCAAGGAUGGGGCCUCUGAAUAGUUACAGGCAUGGACUUUCAAGCAAUAUAUAGUUUCUGGGGGGUAUUUCACAGGUCAAACCUCAAACUGCUACGGAGAACUGCGCCCACAGAUCUGCAUGUAGAAAAGCAAGCAUGGUGCAUCUGAAUAGCUACAGGUCAAACCACAAACUUCUACGGAGAACUGCGCCCACA